GAUGAACGCUAGCGGCAGGCCUAACACAUGCAAGUCGAGGGAGAAGCCCUUUCGGGGGCAGAAACCGGCGCACGGGUGCGUAACGCGUAUGCAACCUACCUUUCACAGGGGGAUAGCCCGAAGAAAUUUGGAUUAAUACCCCAUAAUAUUAUUGGAUGGCAUCAUUUGAUAAUUAAAACUGCGGUGGUGAAAGAUGGGCAUGCGUCCUAUUAGCUAGUUGGAGUGGUAACGGCACCCCAAGGCUACGAUAGGUAGGGGUCCUGAGAGGGAGAUCCCCCCCACUGGGACUGGGCCAAGACCCCGACGCCAGGGGGAGGCAGGGAUGAGGAAUAUAGGUGAGUGGGCGGGAGGCUGAACCGCCCAGUCCGGGUGGAGGAAGUAUGCCUUUUGGGUUUUAAUUUUCUUUUAAGAAGAAAGAAAAAGGGAUACGUGUACGUUGUGACGGGACCCAAUUAAAAAGCCAUGGCUAACCUCGGG
rnacentral:rRNA from 1 species